GACGAACGCUGGCGGCGUGCUUAACACAUGCAAGUCGAACGGAAAGGCCCUGCUUGCAGGGUACUCGAGUGGCGAACGGGUGAGUAACACGUGGGUGAUCUGCCCUGCACUUCGGGAUAAGCCUGGGAAACUGGGUCUAAUACCGGAUAGGAGCCAUUUUUAGUGUGAUGGUUGGAAAGUUUUUUCGGUGUAGGAUGAGCUCGCGGCCUAUCAGCUUGUUGGUGGGGUAAUGGCCUACCAAGGCGGCGACGGGUAGCCGGCCUGAGAGGGUGGACGGCCACAUUGGGACUGAGAGACGGCCCAGACUCCGACGGGAGGCAGCAGUGGGGAAUAUUGCACAAUGGGCGCAAGCCUGAUGCAGCGACGCCGCGUGGGGGAUGACGGCCUUCGGGUUGUAAACGCCUUUCGCUAGGGACGAAGCUUUUUGUGACGGUACCUAGAGAAGAAGCACCGGCUAACUACGUG
rnacentral:rRNA from 1 species